rnacentral:tRNA from 1 species
CGGCUCGCUGGCCAGGGUAGUGGCAAUGAUCGACAGGAUCGGAGUGAUGCCGCUGCCGGCAGCCACGCCCAGGUAGUUGCCCUGGCGGGCCGG